GCAAGAUUAAAACUCAAAGGAAUAGAUGGGGACCCGCACAAGCGGUGGAGCAUGUGGUUUAAUUCGACGAUACGCGAAGAACCUUACCUGGCCUUGACAUAGAAAGAACUUUCCAGAGACGGAUUGGUGCUAGUUUACUAGAGCUUUCAUACAGGUGCUGCACGGCUGUCGUCAGCUCGUGUCGUGAGAUGUUGGGUUAAGUCCCGCAACGAGCGCAACCCUCGUGUUUAGUUACUAACAGUUCGGCUGAGGACUCUAAACAGACUGCCUGGGUAACCAGGAGGAAGGUGAGGACGACGUCAAGUCAUCAUGGCCCUUACGGCCAGGGCUACACACGUGCUACAAUGGGGUAUACAAAGAGCUGCAAUACGGUGACGUGGAGCAAAUCUCAUAAAAUAUCUCCCAGUUCGGAUUGAAGUCUGCAACUCGACUUCAUGAAGUUGGAAUCGCUAGUAAUCGUAGAUCAGCAAUGCUACGGUGAAUACGUUCCCGGGUCUUGUACUCACCGCCCGUCACACCAUGGGAAUUGAAUUCAUUCGAAGCGGGGAUGCUAAAAUAGCUACCUUCCACAGUGGAUUUAGUAACUAGGGUGAAGUCGUAACAAGGUA
rnacentral:rRNA from 1 species